rnacentral:rRNA from 1 species
AGUCGAGCGAGCUUGCCUAGAUGAUUUUAGUGCUUGCACUAAAUGAAACUAGAUACAAGCGAGCGGCGGACGGGUGAGUAACACGUGGGUAACCUGCCCAAGAGACUGGGAUAACACCUGGAAACAGAUGCUAAUACCGGAUAACAACACUAGACGCAUGUCUAGAGUUUGAAAGAUGGUUCUGCUAUCACUCUUGGAUGGACCUGCGGUGCAUUAGCUAGUUGGUAAGGUAACGGCUUACCAAGGCAAUGAUGCAUAGCCGAGUUGAGAGACUGAUCGGCCACAUUGGGACUGAGACACGGCCCAAACUCCUACGGGAGGCAGCAGUAGGGAAUCUUCCACAAUGGACGAAAGUCUGAUGGAGCAACGCCGCGUGAGUGAAGAAGGGUUUCGGCUCGUAAAGCUCUGUUGGUAGUGAAGAAAGAUAGAGGUAGUAACUGGCCUUUAUUUGACGGUAAUUACUUAGAAAGUCACGGCUAACUACGUGCCAGCAGCCGCGGUAAUACGUAGGUGGCAAGCGUUGUCCGGAUUUAUUGGGCGUAAAGCGAGUGCAGGCGGUUCAAUAAGUCUGAUGUGAAAGCCUUCGGCUCAACCGGAGAAUUGCAUCAGAAACUGUUGAACUUGAGUGCAGAAGAGGAGAGUGGAACUCCAUGUGUAGCGGUGGAAUGCGUAGAUAUAUGGAAGAACACCAGUGGCGAAGGCGGCUCUCUGGUCUGCAACUGACGCUGAGGCUCGAAAGCAUGGGUAGCGAACAGGAUU